rnacentral:misc_RNA from 1 species
UUAUCAUUUUUAUGCACAGUGAAGUUGUUCACAAAUUCCACCUGUGUUGGGUGCUUUACUUGUGUUUGGCAUUUUAACUUUUGCUCCAUCAAGUAAAUUGCUAAAAUGCGAAUGGACUGCAAAGUGUAUGUUGGAAAUUUAGGGAACAAUGCAGCCAAACAUGAGCUGGAAGCAGCCUUCAGCAAAUAUGGCCCUCUUGUGAAUGUUUGGGUUGCACGCAACCCACCUGGAUUUGCUUUUGUAGAAUUUGAAGACCCCAGAGAUGCUGAAGAUGCUACCAAGGCCCUUGAUGGAUCGCGGAUCUGCAAUGCUCGAGUCAGGGUGGAGAUGUCAACAGGACGUUCCAAGCGCGAUCGUUACCCCUCUCCUCCCCGCCGGAGAAGAUCCAGGAAUAACCUUCUUCUUGCCCAUCACCACUUCUACUCCUACUCCUGUUGCUACCACCACUUCAUCAUCACUACCUUCACACGAAGCUCCUACAGGCAUCUUCUACCUCAGCACAGGACCAGGGGCACCUCAGUCACUUGAGCAAGCACUCCUCUGAACACACGUCACUUGCCAAAUAGAUGCCAGUUCUGUCAUAUGACAAAGGGCUGGGCCAAGGCUGAUCCUGUCCCAUUAUUGCUGUUCAACAUUCAUAACAAGCAAAUAAGAUUCUCUUUUCAAUUGACAAAUUUUAGUUGUGUCUUAAUCCUCUCAUAGUAUUCCUGCGCCAUUCUAUCAAAGACCUGGCUUGCUGAUUCUUAUCAGAGGAAAUAACCUCCUGGAGUAAUGCCACUCAAUAUCUCUAUAAAAAAUCACGUGUGCUUAUCUCAUACGAAACGUGUGUGCAUCAGACUAGUUAAAAUGCACACGUUGUGUGGUGCCCCUGAGUCCAUUGAAGCAAGGCGUACUGCUUAGCUGCUGCCCCACAGCUGGAGACCUCAGCCCUGCCUACAAUCUACAGGCAGCGUGCCGCUCUUCUUCAUCACCACCACUCAACCCUCCAAACUACCACUGCUCCACACCACCAUCACCUCCACCACCAACACUUCCACCUUGUCUCACCACCUCCCAUCGGUUAUUCAACAUCGCGUCUCCUCCACCCCUCCUCCACCACCUUCUCUGUAACGGUACUCGUCAUACCGUGGAGCGAUGGUCGUCAUGGUCUGAUUUUUAUGGCCCGAUUUGUACAUUCAUAUUUCUCGGAAAUGGUCAAUCAUUGAUUUUUUUGUGUUUUGUUUCUUGUCCCAUAUUAGAGGUGACAUGUUUGGAGUUGAUGAUUUUUUUUGUAAAACUUUUAUCUUUAUAGUAGUAUGUUGGCAUUUUUUAGUAUUUGCAGUAGUCAAACCAUUCACUCAGGUCUUCUUUCGAAUCACUUGGAAUAAAUUACCGACUUGAAACAUGCACUUUGGCAAAAAAUGUAUUCUUCUUUGUCAAGUGAAGAAUUGUAUUCUUGAUGAAUGUUUAUAUCCAAUGAGCUAGUAGUUUUAAAUGCUCAACAAGUUCACUUCAAUUCUUUUUCAAUGAUAUCAAAGUUUGCUGGUGGUAUUGUAUGCAGUCAUGUUGAAUGGAUAUAUUUUCGGCUCAAUCCUCUUGAAUAUUUGAGCAGUUUUGUUGAAUGAAUAAUUAUUUUUAUCGUGUUUUUUUUUUCAAGACUUUAACGAAUAGAGAAAAAGAUUUUCUCCUAUCUUGAUUAGAACAAAUUUUCCUCAAACGUAAGUUCUUUAUGCUGAUUUAACAUGCAAAUCCCAACGCUUGGUGUGUAGCUCAUGAUACGAAGACUUAACUAAAUGAUUAUCAUAGGGGCAUUGUUCCUGAGCGCCGCGCCACCGAGCUUGCUGUGUCUGACUUUCACUGGUGGGGCUGGGCCGUUUCGCUGGCAGGAUUCCUUCAACUCUUUUCUAUUUAAUGUGAUUACCAGACAUCUUGUGCAAGCGUCCUCUUGUACGAAUGUCUUCGCUCCUUUGCCACUACUUUCUUUGUUCCUGUCAUUUGAUGAGAACAAAGAAUUUUUGGGCGCUUGUCAUUUGACACCGUCCAUUAAAAUGGAGAUGGAGUUCGAUCAAUAUUCCGACGAAAGAUGGUCGUUUUAUGAGUCUUGUGUUGGUCGAAACCUUCCCAAAGUAUAGACAUUUGUUUUGCUUACUUUGUUGAUAGCUUCACUCUCAAUAUGGUAGAAAUUCAAUAAAUUAAGAAUAAAAAUAUUUUUAGAAGCUUUCGGGUAGUGAGUUACUAAAGGGUUCCUAAAGGGAUAGUAAAGGGUUCCUAAAGGGAUUAAUUAGUAAGUUAUAAACGAAUAAUACUAAUAUCCUUGAAAAGUUUCACGUUUGAUAAACCUGGAAAGUGGAAACCACUAUACCUGCUAAGGAAAGUCAUUCAUGAUAAUUGUACAUAUACUUAAUAGAAUUUCUUUCGAUUCCACAUUGCAGUCUUUAUGUCGUCUUGAAUUCAUGGGUCAUGUGUUGGUGUUAUGCUUGGAAUAAAUUGUGGUAAUAACAAGCUUGCUAGUUGACAGCUAAGGUUUUGGAAACCUUGUUGGAUUGGAAUUAAUAAAUUGAAUAAUCCUUCCGAUGUUCUUGAGUUUCAGACGGGUGUCAUUCUCCUCAUGCUUAGUGAUCAUUUUCAGCGGGACAAUAUUUUUUUGUCAUUAUUAGCUAUAUAUUUGAAUGUUGUCUAAAUUUAGUUUGUUAAUACACUCGUUUCGCCAGGUCGCGCAGCCCGCGACGCUCCGCACGCUCUCGCUCCAGGUCUCCUCGCCGAUCGCGAUCUCGAUCUCCCAGGUAUGCCAAGCGUGGCUCUCCUCGCUA